GGUGAGGUGGCGGAGUGGUCGAUCGCGCACGCUUGGAAAGCGUGUUUGGGUGAAAGCCCAACGAGGGUUCGAAUCCUCUCUCACCGCCA
rnacentral:tRNA from 1 species